UUCCAGACUCCUACGGGAGGCAGCAGUGGGGAAUAUUGCACAAUGGGGGAAACCCUGAUGCAGCGACGCCGCGUGAGCGAUGAAGUAUUUCGGUAUGUAAAGCUCUAUCAGCAGGGAAGAAAAUGACGGUACCUGACUAAGAAGCCCCGGCUAACUACGUGCCAGCAGCCGCGGUAAUACGUAGGGGGCAAGCGUUAUCCGGAUUUACUGGGUGUAAAGGGAGCGUAGACGGCCAUUCAAGCCAGAUGUGAAAGCCCGGGGCUCAACCCCGGGACUGCAUUUGGAACUGUGUGGCUAGAGUGGCGGAGAGGCAGGCGGAAUUCCUAGUGUAGCGGUGAAAUGCGUGGAUAUUAGGAGGAACACCAGUGGCGAAGGCGGCCUGCUGGACGAUGACUGACGUUGAGGCUCGAAAGCGUGGGGAGCGAACAGGAUUAGAUACCCGCGUACAA
rnacentral:rRNA from 1 species